UUGGACCUGAUAUCAAGUAAGAUUACCCGCUGAACUUAAGCAUAUCAU
rnacentral:rRNA from 1 species